UAACAAGGUCUCCGUUGGUGAACCAGCGGAGGGAUCAUUAC
rnacentral:rRNA from 16 species